GAUCCUGGCUCAGAUUGAACGCUGGCGGCAUGCCUUACACAUGCAAGUCGAACGGCAGCGGACCUUCGGGUGCCGGCGAGUGGCGAACGGGUGAGUAAUGCAUCGGAACGUGCCAUUGAGUGGGGGAUAACGUAGCGAAAGUUGCGCUAAUACCGCAUAUUCUGUGAGCAGGAAAGCAGGGGACCGCAAGGCCUUGCGCUCUUUGAGCGGCCGAUGUCAGAUUAGCUAGUUGGUGAGGUAACGGCUUACCAAGGCGACGAUCUGUAGCGGGUCUGAGAGGAUGAUCCGCCACACUGGAACUGAGACACGGUCCAGACUCCUACGGGAGGCAGCAGUGGGGAAUUUUUGGACAAUGGGGGCAACCCUGAUCCAGCCAUGCCGCGUGAGUGAAGAAGGCCUUCGGGUUGUAAAGCUCUUUCGGCCGGGAAGAAAUCGCAUGGGUUAAUACCCUGUGUGGAUGACGGUACCGGCAUAAGAAGCACCGGCUAACUACGUG
rnacentral:rRNA from 1 species